AUUGAACGCUGGCGGCAGGCCUAACACAUGCAAGUCGAACGAGUGGCGGACGGGUGAGUAAUGUCUGGGAAACUGCCUGAUGGAGGGGGAUAACUACUGGAAAAGGUAGCUACUACCGCAUACCAUCAGAUGUGCCAAGAUGGGAUUAGCUAGUGGGGGGGGUAAAGGCUCACCAAGGCGACGAUCCCUAGCUGGUCUGAGAGGAUGACCCGCCACACUGGGAGUGAGACACGGUCCAGACUCAGAAGGGAGGCAGCAGUGGGGAAUAUUGCACAUUGGGCGCAAGCCUGAUGCAGCCAUGCCGCGUGUAUGAAGAAGGCCGUCGGGUUGUAAAGUACUUUCAGCGGGGAGGCGUUACCCGCAGAAGAAGCACCGGCUAACUCCGUGCCAGCAGCCGCGGUAUUUC
rnacentral:rRNA from 1 species